ACCAUUCUUCCAGGAAAAGCUACUAAGUAUAAUUUAUAAGUUACCGUACUGUAAACCGACACUGCUGGGUAGGUAGAUAAUACUAAGGCUAUGAGAUAACUCUUGUGAAGGAACUAGGCAAAAUGACACCUUAACUUUGGAAGAAGGUUUUCCCAUGAUGGAGAUGAGACUAGCUCAUUGAGCUGAUGGGGGUUGCAGAUACCAUGUGGCUGCUACUGUUUAUCAAAAACAC
rnacentral:rRNA from 1 species